rnacentral:lncRNA from 1 species
GAGCCAAUGUAAACCACAGAAGAACUUCAGUACAGCUACAGAUUACAGGAAUUACUGGAAGGUAAAAAAUGCAGGCGGUUUAGUAUCCUAAAGAGGUCCGGAAGCUGACAGAGAAAACAAGCAAAGCAGCACAGUGAAGCAGGGUCAUGCUCCUCACCCACGCACCUGGAGGAACUACGCCAAUACCAUCAUCAACCUCAUAAUCUGAGAUGUCACUAUCACUGAUUCGCUGAGAUCCUGCACAACA